CCUACGGGAGGCAGCAGUCGAGAAUCAUUCACAAUGGGGGAAACCCUGAUGGUGCGACGCCGCGUGGGGGAAUGAAGGUCUUCGGAUUGUAAACCCCUGUCAUGUGGGAGCAAAUUAACAAGAUAGUACCACAAGAGGAAGAGACGGCUAACUCUGUGCCAGCAGCCGCGGUAAUACAGAGGUCUCAAGCGUUGUUCGGAAUCACUGGGCGUAAGGCGUGCGUAGGCUGUUUCGUAAGUCGUGUGUGAAAGGCGCGGGCUCAACCCGCGGACGGCACAUGAUACUGCGAGACUAGAGUAAUGGAGGGGGAACCGGAAUUCUCGGUGUAGCAGUGAAAUGCGUAGAUAUCGAGAGGAACACUCGUGGCGAAGGCGGGUUCCUGGACAUUAACUGACGCUGAGGCACGAAGGCCAGGGGAGCGAAAGGGAUUAGAUACCCCUGUAGUC
rnacentral:rRNA from 1 species